AGGAGCCGAAAGCCUUUUCACGGAGGAACAAAAGAAGUAGGAUGCGGGCAAAGCCUCUCAGCUAGCAAACGCCUCUUUUAUUCGUUUUUGCUCAAAGGCAGCUUGCUACAGAAUAUCACAGGCUGUGUUAGCCCGGUGGUGGUUGGCGAGGGAUUUUUCUGGAUUUAGCUAAACUGUCACAUAGUCUAGCUAAUUAAGAUAAUCUUAUUGGGUGUCUGAUGCACCAUACCCUUUAGCUACACGAAGUUAGUGAGGUUAGCAUGCCUGGGUUUCGGAAACAAACUGCUCGACAGGAUCUUUUCCACAUUUCUGUUUAAGGAGAAGUGGACAAAGCUGCCUAACGCCAGCUCCCUGCUGGCUGCUCUAGACUGCGAAAUAACUUUUUUUUUUUAAUAGUUCAAGUCACCACUUUUUUUCUUUCCUUCUGUGGAGAUCUGAAGUUUAGGGAAACUCGUUAAGCGGGGUCGCGAGCCUGAUGCCCGGUUUUACACUCAGUUUAAGAGUCAUCCUCCAAGCAUGCGCUGAGUCUUUUCCUGUAAGUGAUGAUGCGUGUCGGCUUCAUGCAUUCCUCCCUUUUUUUUCCCUUUUCUCUUUUUUCUUGCAGGGAAGAGUGCAAACCUUAAAAUUAUGGCCGCCUUUAUAAUGAGGCAUGAUUUCAGGGCGUGCUAGAGAUUUCUAUACUGCCACUGUUAGCCUUUGCUGAGUCUGAGUGAGCAUGUCAAAUGUCGGUCAGUCCGCAUGCUGCUUUCGGAUGAUGCAGGGGGCUUGGGUGGGGGCUCUGAGCUAGUUAAGCCUGUAAAUCUUUCCUUAGCUCUUCUGCCUUUCCCCUCUUAAAGCCCCCUUUAGCGAGCUGCUGGUCAUUUCUGCUUCUGGACGAGAUCAGUAGAGCAGCAGCUUGAAUUAGGCUAAACUCAAAGGCCUCCUAUCCUGCCUUAUCAGACAUGCCAUCUUUGGCUCUGGACCUUAGCUGUAUCCUACCCAGCUUCACCUGCCUUAAAGCGCUCUAAGGCUUCCAAACAUGAAUGCCAUUUCAUUCAUGUUAUUUGCAGGUUCAUUCUAGGGUGGGGUCUGCUGCCAGCCAGCUCAAAGCUUUCCCCCACCGUCGCAAUCUGUGUGUGUAUGUGGAAAGCAUGAUCUCAUCCUCUCUGGCUGGGAGGUGAAGUCUGGUUUAGGCAUUAUAUGUUGUCACAGCCAAGAAUUAAAUGUGCAAAUUCACGUUGUUGCAUACUGGGCUGUGUGAGAUGUGUUUUUUUUCCCCCUCGUCUUGGUUGCUUUCUUUGUAGCUGUGCUUCAAGAGCAGAGUUGUUUUUUAGACUCCCAUCUGCCUGCCUGGCCCUCGGACAGCUGCUCGGUGUGUCAGCUGGUGACUUCAGGGGGCUCCAGGAGAGGAGAGUUUGCUGGUGGAAAGAAAAAAAAAAAAGAGGGAGGGGUCCAGCAGUGGCUCUGCAAGCACAUCGGUGUCUGUCGUCCACCCCAGCUGCCCUUGAGCACAGCGAGGAGAAAAAGGGUUUCCCUACUUGUUGUUGAAUUCCUUUUGUUCGGUUCAUGGUGGAAGAAAGUCUGUGGAAAGUACGCUUUGUUUGUCAUCUGUUUAUCUGGAUCCCGGCUUUCUGUGCUGUUCUAGAACAGUCCCAAUACUACGUGACCUAUAUUUAGCGUAAACCUCAGACCUUUCACUUCCAUUGUGCGAUUGUGACCAAAAUAAACAUCAGAUUUGAUGAA